UGGGGAAUCUUCCGCAAUGGACGAAAGUCUGACGGAGCAACGCCGCGUGAGUGAAGAAGGUUUUCGGAUCGUAAAACUCUGUCUUUUGGGGCGAACGUGAGUAUGGUGAACAAUCAUAGUCAGUGACGGUACCAAAGGAGGAAGCCACGGCUAACUACGUGCCAGCAGCCGCGGUAAUACGUAGGUGGCAAGCGUUGUCCGGAAUUAUUGGGCGUAAAGAGCGCGUAGGCGGGAUAGUCAGUCUGUUGUAAAGUGCGGGGCUCAACCCCGUGAUGGCAAUGGAAACAGCUAUUCUUGAGUGCAGGAGAGGAAAGUGGAAUUCCCAGUGUAGCGGUGAAAUGCGUAGAUAUUGGGAGGAACACCAGUGGCGAAGGCGACUUUCUGGACUGUGUCUGACGCUGAGGCGCGAAAGCCAGGGGAGCGAACGGGAUUAGAUACCCCGGUAGUCCUGGCCGUAAACGAUGGGUACUAGGUGUGGGGGGUAUCGACCCCUUCCGUGCCGGAGUUAACGCAAUAAGUACCCCGCCUGGGGAGUACGGUCGCAAGACUGAAACUCAAAUGAAUUGAC
rnacentral:rRNA from 1 species